rnacentral:rRNA from 1 species
GUGAGGAAUAUUGGUCAAUGGGCGCAAGCCUGAACCAGCCAUGCCGCGUGCAGGAAGACGGUCCUAUGGAUUGUAAACUGCUUUUAUUUGGGAAUAAACUCCGGUACGUGUACCGGCCUGAAGGUACCAAAUGAACAAGCACAGGCUAACUCCGUGCCAGCAGCCGCGGUAAUACGGAGGGGGCAAGCGUUAUCCGGAAUCAUUGGGUUUAAAGGGUCCGCAGGCGGUCUUAUAAGUCAGUGGGGAAAGCCUACAGCUCAACUGUAGAACUGCCAUUGAUACUGUAGGACUUGAAUUCGAUCGAAGUGGGCAGAAUGUGACAUGUAGUGGUGAAAUGCUUAGAUAUGUCACAGAACACCGAUAGCGAAGGCAGCUCACUAGGUCUGGAUUGACGCUCAGGGACGAAAGCGUGGGGAGCAAACAGGAUUAGAUACCCGGGUAGUCC